ACAACGGCCCUUUUUAGGGCCACCACUUAUUCCUGAGAGCAGCCU
rfam:Folsomia candida strain VT population Fcan01_Sc007, whole genome shotgun sequence.